rnacentral:rRNA from 1 species
UGUGAGAGCAUGGCCCCACGACCGGAACUGAGACACUGUCCGGACACCGUACGGGUGGCUGCAGUCGAGAUCUCCGCAAGUGGACGAAAGUCUGACGGAGCGACGCCGCGUGCGGGAUGAAGGCCCUUGGGUUGUAAACCGCUUCGGGGGGAUGAAAUCUCUAAGGGGUACUCCCUCAGAGUUGACAGAGCCCCAAAAGAAGCACGGGCUAAGUACGUGCCAGCAGCCGCGGUAACACGUACUGUGCGAACGUUAUUCGGAAUCACUGGGCUUAAAGGGUGCGUAGGCGGCAAUCCAAGUCAGAUGUGAAAUGCCUGAGCUUAACUGAGGCACUGCGUUUGAAACUGGAUUGCUUGAGUAUUUCAGGGGUGUGCGGAACUGCCAGUGGAGCGGUGAAAUGUGUUGAUAUUGGCAGGAACACCGGAG